AGCGAACGCUGGCGGCAGGCCUAACACAUGCAAGUCGAACGAACUCUUCGGAGUUAGUGGCGGACGGGUGAGUAACACGUGGGAACGUGCCUUUAGGUUCGGAAUAACUCAGGGAAACUUGUGCUAAUACCGAAUGUGCCCUUCGGGGGAAAGAUUUAUCGCCUUUAGAGCGGCCCGCGUCUGAUUAGCUAGUUGGUGAGGUAAAGGCUCACCAAGGCGACGAUCAGUAGCUGGUCUGAGAGGAUGAUCAGCCACAUUGGGACUGAGACACGGCCCAAACUCCUACGGGAGGCAGCAGUGGGGAAUCUUGCGCAAUGGGCGAAAGCCUGACGCAGCCAUACCGCGUGAAUGAUGAAGGUCUUAGGAUUGUAAAAUUCUUUCACCGGGGACGAUAAUGACGGUACCCGGAGAAGAAGCCCCGGCUAACUUCGUG
rnacentral:rRNA from 1 species